ensembl:lncRNA
UAUGAUUUAAGACAAAGUUGAUGCUAAAAUCCCUCUCCUCAUUUCCUGCAAAAACAUCUCUUUCCUCUGCUUUUCAGCACAAAUAGACACAGAAGUUCAAAGCUGUUGACACACAUCAACUAAAUAAACCAGCCCGCUGAAUGAUUCCUCACCCAGAUAUAUGAUAUGUGAGUAGAAUAGCACAGAUUUGCUGAUUAGCAAAGCUUAAACAUUUUGUACACAUCCCAUUGGCUUUCUAUUCCCAUUCUCAUAUUUUUUACAUCUAACGUCCAAGAGCUCAAAAGUAAACAAAUGACUUUCAGAAGACCAUGGCCUUUUAUGGUGUCCGGAGCAGCUGAGAUAAAUUAAACUGUCAGUGUUUAUUUUCCAACAAAUCAGCAGUUGAGCACUCCAGCCCUUCGUCAGCUGAUAAAACACACCGACGGAGAGCGAGAGAAGAAAUCGAACUAAUAUAAAGACCAGAAAACCCUGACUUAAAAGGAUAAACUGAAAAAAAGAUGGAAGCAGGAGUUUACUACGUAAUCCUGCGUUAUCUGCAUGGAAGAUCUGGGUCUUGUAAACCCGUGUGGUCAAGAAGCUUGAAAGACUUUUAUUAGCUUGAUUUUAAAGGUCUAUUUCUGGGCUAAUAGAUCCUCUCUGUCCUUUUAGGGAGGCGAGGAGCUCAUGUACAUCAAAGCAUGAAGAGAAAUAUCAGUCCCAACUAUUGUUACACGCUGAAGCUUGGGUGCAUACAGUGGUGAGUCCAUUUGUGUGUCUUACUGAUCAUUUCUUUCUUUUUUCUGCCUUAAAAGGUCUGGCUGUCAGUCGUAUUGUUGACUAGGGGCCCGGAGUGACACUGGCCCCCUGAAGCGUCCACCUGAUAUAGCAGUGAAAGAUCACAGACAUGGACUUUCAGCCUGGUCCAAACUUGAGAAAACUGUACUAAGCAGAUUUUGAUGGAUGUCCCUGCUGAAAAGACCAGCAUGUUCAAUUUCCAAACCAACUGCGAUUCGCCGCAGCCAGACUCCCAGGAGGCCACGGGUGUCUGGACAUGAUGUCACACCUCUAACAUCUUCUAGCCUCUGCUGCCUGAAAGUGACAGCUCUUGGCUUCUUCACGGUGAAGAGAAAGCCUGCGUGGAAUGGUUUCUCUGCACUCAGUACUGCACCAAACUUCUGGUUUCCGUGCUGAAAAGACACUGCUGUUGUGUUUUGGUACCCAGUGUGGGAUGCAGGCUUCUUCGGCCCAAAACACACUCUCUGAAUGUACCUUAAUGUUCUUGCUAUACAAGCGUGAUUUCACAUUGCUUUAAUAAAUGCAUCAGAACACAUUCAAGGGGUACUAUUGCAUGGUAAACAAACGUUUAUAGAUAUUAAGAAACUAAAAUGUAAUAUAUUAAUAAUUAAUGAAAGCAGUUAUUAUUGCGAAACAAUUAAGUCAAUAAAUAAUUAAACCAAUAAAUAAAUAUACCUCUAUUUAUUUUUUCAUAAAACCACUACUGCAAUUAAAUGAUUUUUUCCCAUAAUUAAAUUUUUAAUAAUAAAGCAUUCUUUUUUCCUGAAAUAAAAAUAUUUCCAAAAGUUGCUGUUUUAAUAAUAAAUAAUAAUUUCUUCCUAUGAUAAAAUAGAUUAUUUCAUAUUAUUUCCUAAAGUAAUUUUAAAUAUAAUUUUUUUUUAAUUGGUUUAAUUAUUUAAAUUUAAUUUACAGUGUUUUGGUCCUCCGUGUAUUGUUAGCUUUGUGCACUUUUAUGAUAGUUAAAAUAUUUUAUAUUUAUAAUAUUUGUAUAUUUUUUUUCUAUUUCAUUCUUUCUCUUUUCCUCAGAGAGGAGGUGCUGCAGGUACAAGUGGAGCCGCGGUUUCACCUAAAAGCAGAAAGAGGUCCCAGA